UCUUGGCGAAUGGAAGAAGAUGGAACAUCGUUUUUAUUUUUGGUUUCUCGAAGCGUCUUCGUCUCUUGACCGCGUCGGUUCCAAUCUCCGAUCAUCUCUCUAUUGCUCAGCAGGGGAAAGAUGGUUCUGAUCGAGCAAGAACCGGACGCCGAGGGAACCCGGGAAGAAGUCCCUGCAGACGCCUCAGAUAUCUGGCGACGCUCCGGUGGAAGUGGGAAAUGGCGGCGACGAGGAGCCCUUUGAGGACGCCCUGACAAAAGAGAAGUUGAGAGAGAAAGCUCUUAAGCAAGCAAAUGAUGCAAAGGAAGAAGGGAACAAACUCGCUUUAGGAUUGGUCGAUAUGAGGAUGCACUCUUGCAGUAUGAGAUUCCUGGGCAAAUUGCUUCUGAGCAACCUUCAUUUAUAGAUGAAAGUUGAAAGAGAUGGGAAACUUUUUGUUGGUCGUUUUGCGAUUGAGCCUGGACAACUUCAAAACUGUAAAAGAUCCCAAAACCGGUUCAUAUUCCAUCUCUUCUCAGCAGUAGUCCACUUCUAACCAAGGUUCAGAUUUAAAAGCUUAAUAUUUAACAGUUGGUACAUGAAAACUCGAGCAGCCUGUUCAUCUUGUUUAACGAGGAUAAACUAAUACUCCUUUAGAAAUAGCAAUCUCAAUCAGCUUGUUCAUCCUAUUUAUACUGGAGCAGCUUGUCCUAAAACUUCCAUGGCUUGGACCAAUUGUAAGAGCUAGAUACCUGGAUUACUUUAAAAAAAACUAAGAAAAGAUGCAAUGAUAUGACAGCAUUGAAGAUAUGGUAAUUUUUGUUCUUGUAUAUUGAGAAAUGAAAUGAUUAUGAUUACUAUUUGUGAUUAAGUUGUGUUAAUGUACUCUGAAAUCAGUAUGGAUUCGGUGCAGAAAGCGCAAGUGAUAAGUGGCUUAUCUGUAAGCAGUGGAGCACAUCAAAUUACAAGAAAGAGAAACCAGACAAAGUUUGGAUAUUGAACCAUUGUAGCUGGAGCCUUGAGACAUCUGUUACGAUGAGCCACUUUUUGUGAGGACACCAUUUUCUUGGCUUUGGCGGCUUCAAAACAGCUUUUAUUGUUAUCCUUUGAAAUUUUCAAAAUUUGUCGAAAUUGCAUUUAAACCCUCCAAAGUUGAUGAUUUUGCAUUGCGAUUAUUUAAAUUGUAUAACAAAUUCUUGUAUUUUUUUUUUAAACUCAAGUACUAAGUCUUUAUUUAGGAAUUUGAUCA